GACGAACGCUGGCGGCGUGCCUAAUACAUGCAAGUCGGACGCCGUUGCGAACGGGUGAGUAACGCGUCGGUACCUGCCUAUUAGAGGGGGAUAACUAUUGGAAACGAUAGCUACUACCGCAUACUAGUAGAUGGACCUGCGUUGUAUUAGCUAGUAGGUAGGGUAAUGGCCUACCUAGGCGACGAUACAUAGCCGAACUGAGAGGGUGAGCGGCCACACUGGGACUGAGACAAGGCCCAGACUCCUACGGGAGGCAGCAGUAGGGAAUCUGCGGCAAUGGGGGGAAGCCUGACCGAGCAACGCCGCGUGAGUGAAGAAGGUUUUCGGAUCGUAAAGCUCUGUUGAUAAGGAAGCGGUACUUAAACAGAAAGGGACGGCUAACUACGUGCCAGCAGCCGCGGUAAUAC
rnacentral:rRNA from 1 species